rnacentral:tRNA from 3 species
GCCGAAGUGGCGAAAUGGCAGACGCGCACGUUUGAGGGGCGUGUGGGGAAACCCGUGCGGGUUCAAGUCCCGCCUUCGGCACCA